CGAGUGGCGGACGGGUGAGUAACGCGUAGGGAUCUGCCUUAAAGUGGGGGACAACCCGGGGAAACUCGGGCUAAUACCGCAUAAUCUCUGAGGAGAAAAGCUGGGGACCGCAAGGCCUGGCGCUUUAAGAGGAACCUGCGUCCGAUUAGCUAGUUGGUAGGGUAAAGGCCUACCAAGGCGAUGAUCGGUAGCUGGUUUGAGAGAAUGACCAGCCACACUGGGACUGAGACACGGCCCAG
rnacentral:rRNA from 1 species